rnacentral:rRNA from 1 species
UACAGAGGGUGCAAACGUUGUUCGGAAUUACUGGGCGUAAAGCGUGUGUAGGCGGCCUCGUAGGUCGGAUGUGAAAGCUCUCGGCUCAACCGGGAAAGUGCAUUCGAAACCACAAGGCUUGAGUGUCGGAGAGGAAGGCGGAAUUGUCGGUGUAGAGGUGAAAUUCGUAGAUAUCGACAGGAACACCUGCGGCGAAAGCGGCCUUCUGGACGAACACUGAACGCUGAGACACGAAAGCGUGGGGAGCAAACAGGG